AGGGAAUGUUCAAAACCCAAAUCUGUGUGAAACUGAGGAAGGGAAAUGCCUGUGAAUAAGUACUGGUGAGAUGUCCCUAGCUUUUUAUUUUAUUUUAUUUUAUUUUUUAUUAGGUAUUUUCCUCAUUUACAUUUCCAAUGCUAUCCCAAAAGUCCCCCAUACCCUCCCCCCCACUCCCCUACCCACCCACUCCCACUUUUUGGCCCUGGCGUUCCCCUGUACUAUGUCCCUAGCUUUUAAACUUCAGUGCUCGAUGAGGCUCUAAGUCCAGGAUGGUGUCAGGAAGCUCUGAUGGUCAGGGACUCUAGCUGGGUGUGGGUUGUUAGCCACUGGGGCAGUACAGUUCUGUCACCCUGGGUGGGACAUACCUCUUUUUGUAUUCUAUAUAUAGUUACGGCAUUUGUCUCUGUUUCCUCUGUGCUUAACAACAUGUACUAAGGAGGUACAAGUCAAUGAUGUAGAUGCUGGCUUUGAUUCUCUCUCUUUCAUUUUGCUACCUCUCUACCCCCCUUUGACACCUCUGUGUUCCCCUUUGGCACCUCUCUCUAUCCUCCUUGACACCUCUCUCUAUACCCUUUGAUACCUUUGUAUCCCCCUUUGAUACCUCCCUCUUUAUCCCUUUUUGACACCUCUCUUAAUUAUUUGAUGCCUCUCUCUUCUGACUCUGACACUUGUCUCCUGCUCUGACAACUCUCUCUUUCUCUCCCUGACAUCUCUCUCCUACUUUGAUACCCUUCUCUCCUGACUGUAGGAUACCCCUCUUCCCAACUUUGACAUCUCACUCUCCAGUUCUGAAACCUCUUCCCCCCCCCCCCCCCCCGCUUUGACAUCUCUAUCCCCUACUUUGACACAUCUCACUCCUGCUUUGACACUUCUGUCUCCAGCUUUGGUACCUCUCUUUGCCUCUCCUGACUCUUUGACACCCCUCUCUAUCUUUGAUGCCUUUCUUUCCAGUUUUGACACCUCUUUCUCCCAUUUCAACAGUUGUUCUGGCUUACAUGUCUCCCUCACAUUGCUACCUGUCUUCAUGGUCAUUACUCUAGAGCUACAAGCAGCUCAGAUGUCUGCCUUCUGUGUGACUCUUGCCACCUUAUUCUCCCUGUACUGACUAAAGUCUCUCAAGAGCUACGACACUUGUGUGGUAAAAGACCUUCCAAUGGAUUUUCAUUGUAAUUUGGAUAAUAACUGAUAUAGAAAACGGAGCAAGCCUUGAGUGAGUGAAAUCUUGAAUCAGUGUAUAUUUUGAUAUGAGUAUGGCUGUGUUGAGGACUCCAAGGCCUCAGACGUAUGGAAAAAUUGGCAAAGCUUUCCUCCAGGAGUCCAAGUAUGAGUAUUUGUAAACAAUUAGUCAGUGUAUGCAAAGACAAACAACUUUGUUUUCUUCCCUAGGGGAUGUUUCCAGCUUGAGACUUCUUGCCUACAGAGACACCCUCAAGGAUUAGCUGCUCCUGAUGUACAUAAGAAACAUGCUGAUGUUUUGGGUUGUAGGUUAGAGAACCCUACCUGGUCCCAGCUCAACUGAACAUGUGACUGUAUGUCCAUCCCUUCUUCAUUCCCUCACUGUCCCUAUCCAGGGUUUUAAAACCCAAGC
rnacentral:lncRNA from 1 species